rnacentral:misc_RNA from 1 species
GAUGAAGAACGUAGUGAAAUGCGAUAAGUAAUGUGAAUUGCAGAAUCUCGUGAAUCAUCGAAUCUUUGAACGCACAUUGCGCCCCUUGGUAUUCCAUGGGGCAUGCCUGUUCGAGCGUCAUUUGUACCUUCAAGCUCUGCUUGGUGUUGGGUGUUUGUCUCGCCUCUGCGUGUAGACUCGCCUCAAAACAAUUGGCAGCCGGCGUAUUGAUUUCGGAGCGCAGUACAUCUCGCGCUUUGCACUCAUAACGACGACGUCCAAAAGUACAUUUUUACACUCUUGACCUCGGAUCAGGUAGGGAUACCCGCUGAACUUAAGCAUAUCAAUAAGCGGAGGA